rnacentral:miRNA from 14 species
CGUGUAUUCAAUUGCGAAUAACA